rnacentral:tRNA from 1 species
GCGCCCGUAGCUCAGUGGAUAGAGCAGCGGUUUCCUAAACCGCGUGUCGGAGGUUCGAUUCCUUUCGGGCGCGCCA